rnacentral:rRNA from 1 species
AUGAAUUGCCUAAGUUGGAACUGCCGGGGAGGGGGGAACACCCGGACAGUUCGUGAGUUAGCGACAAUCUGCAAGUCGCGUUCCCCCACGUUCAUAUUUUUAUGUGAGACUAGACAAAAGGAAGUAAAGAUGAAAAGACUGCGAAACCGGCUGGGUUUGAAGGGUUUUUGUGGAGUCGAUAGCAAUGGCAUGGGUGGUGGUCUCGCGGUGUACUGGCAUGAAAACUGUGUAGUGGAAAUCUUGAACAAAGAUGAGCGACAUAUUGAUGCUUUGAUUAGGAUGUAUGAAGGUGCAGAACAAUGGCGGGCAACUUUUGUAUAUGGGGAACCUCGGGUGGAAAAUAGACAUCUUAUGUGGUCGAAGCUGCAGAGUCUGAAAACGUUGAGUAACCUCCCAUGGUUAGUGAUAGGCGACUUUAACGAGGCAAUGUGGAACUUUGAACACCUCUCGGCCACGCCGAGGGCAGAGUCCCAAAUGAUAGCUUUCCGGGACACUUUGGAAAUUUGCAAGCUCGUGGAUUUGGGUUUCCUUGGAGUGCCCUUUUCCUAUGACAAUAAGCGAGGUGGCUCAGCUAAUGUGAAAGUAAGGUUGGACCGGGCAGUAGCUACGAACGAAUGGCGGAAUCUAUUCGCCUUUGCUUCAGUUGAACACAUCCCCACGCCAUGCUACGACCAUGUUAUGAUCUUUUUGAAAGGGGAGCCAGACCAAGGUCCUGUAGGAGGGAAGAGCCGGCGCUAUGAAAUAUUCUAG